CCUACGGGAGGCAGCAGUGGGGAAUCUUGCGCAAUGGGCGAAAGCCUGACGCAGCAACGCCGCGUGCGGGAAGAAGGCUUUCGGGCUGUAAACCGCUUUCAGCAGGAACGAAAAUGACGGUACCUGCAGAAGAAGGAGCGGCCAACUAUGUGCCAGCAGCCGCGGUGAUACAUAGGCUUCAAGCGUUGUCCGGAUUUAUUGGGCGUAAAGAGUUCGUAGGCGGUCGAGUAAGUCGGGUGUGAAAAUUCUGGGCUCAACCCAGAGACGCCACCCGAUACUGCUUAACUUGAGUUCGAUAGGGGAGUGGGGAAUUCCUAGUGUAGCGGUGAAAUGCGCAGAUAUUAGGAGGAACACCGGUGGCGAAGGCGCCACUCUGGAUCGAUACUGACGCUGAGGAACGAAAGCAUGGGUAGCAAACAGGAUUAGAUACCCUGGUAGUCCAUGCCGUAAACGGUGGGCACUAGGUGUGGGAUUCUAUUAACGAAUUCCGNGCCGUCGCUAACGCAUUAAGUGCCCCGCCUGGGGGAGGUACGGUCGCAGACUAAACUACAAGAAGUAGACGCGNGAGACGUGCCGACGACGACGACGAGGGAGUAGG
rnacentral:rRNA from 1 species